rnacentral:rRNA from 1 species
GCAGUCGUACGAUGWGCCUGUCRKGUGGAUUAGUGGCGACGGGUGAGUMACACRUGGGCAUCUGCCCUGUACUUUGGGAUAAGCCUGGGAACUGGGUCUAAUACCGGAUAUCACCUUCCCUCGCAUGGGGGUUGGUUGAAAGUUCUGGCGGUACAGGAUGAGCCCGCGGCCUAUCAGCUUGUUGGUGGGGUAAUGGCCUACCAAGGCGACGACGGGUAGCCGGCCUGAGAGGGUGACCGGCCACACUGGGACUGAGACACGGCCCAGACUCCUACGGGAGGCAGCAGUGGGGAAUAUUGCACAAUGGGCGAAAGCCUGAUGCAGCGACGCCGCGUGAGGGAUGACGGCCUUCGGGUUGUAAACCUCUUUCGCCAGGGACGAAGCGCAWGUGACGGUACCUGGAUAAGAAGCACCGGCUAACUACGUGCCAGCAGCCGCGGUAAUACKUAKGGUGCGAGCGUUGUCCGGAAUUAUUGGGCGUAAAGAGCUCGUAGGCGGUUUGUCGCGUCG